rnacentral:rRNA from 1 species
GAAAAGGAUUCAAAAAUCCACACUGGUACCCUAUGUGGAUGACAUAAAUUCCGCACAACAAGAAAGAACUUAUUCCAUGACGCAACACGAACUUACGUUAACAGAACUAAAACUGUCGUUGGCUCGGGUUAGUUGUUAAUCAUCUUCAUCAAUACUCUACUCCGUCUCCUCUCGUCUCUCCUGGCCUCUUCCUCAACGUCUGGAGCGGUUGUUCCGGCACUGGGACGUAGUGAUUUUUUACGGGGCAUAAACAAAAAGUACGAACCCACUACCGACUGGUACCGUACAAGAAUAAUCAAGUCCAACCAGAGAGGCCAAGAAAAACGGCUACCGAACUACAUGCGUGACCGUUGGAGAAUGACCGUACGGAGACAAGCUCUCUACCCUAUACUUCUUUACCGUAAGACCAUACAAUAUAGUAAACUUCGUUACUGUGAAAUAAAACCAAGUGUAAAGAAAUGUCCAACAACAUACGUCUCAAAUACUCCAACGUGACGUGGUAGUUUGAUACGAGGUACAAUUCGUUGUAGGUCUUGACGGUAAUAUAUAAAUUACAUCAUCCAACUACGUUCAAACAUUGGUCAGUACCUAAAUUUUAUCCGAAAGAUGGAGAAAUAAAACCGGCCGUACAAAACCGUACACAAAAACAGUAACUAGACGAUAUAUAAUUAAUGUAAACUCAUCUGACAACUGACUCUUUCGGACUUGUACAACACAAAACUAAAUACUCCUGAUUAUCUAUCAAAAGGGAGCCCAAAUAAAUAAAAGAGAGGUGUGAAAAUUAAGAUGUAUUUUCAUGUAAGAUAACAAUAAACAAAUGAUUACGUUAUAUACAUGGGAAUCAACAGAGUUGAAGUAGUUAAAAUCAAACACAAAAGACGCCGCGUCUUGUGUCAAGUUCCGUCACGACACAGUUUCUAGACACGGUUUAUUAAUUCGACUAACUUUAUAGUUUGAAACCCACGUCAGUAGAACCAGGACAUAUAUACUGACAGACUAUGUUUUAGACCUGUCAAGACAGUACGGAAAAUAGAAGUGUAGACGGAAAGUACUUAAAUGAUUUCGAAAAAAAAUGAACUAGAAUAAACGUCGAUGCAAAUAGGUCCAAUAUCCCGGAGAUAUCCUUUGCAUUAUUAGACUUAAGGAUUCAUUUAUAUUGUCGAGUAAAAGAACGAAUUUAAACGGUAAGACUUUAGGAUUCAUAAAUAUUGUUGAGUUCACAUAGGUAUAUGAUUCUAUACUGUAAUCUAAAAGAAGAAUGAACCUAGAAAACGGUACAUUUCAUCUAACAGGAGCUCAGCGACAACACGAUGACGAUCCGUGCUUGUCUUACCGGAGGAGAAUAACGCUUGGUGUGACUACAACCGAAGACUAAAGACGACAUUACCUAAUAAAUGAUACCUGUUUAUACUGUUGUAAGUAAACCUCGUGGCAAAGAACUCCGAUACAAAGAAGAUGUCCAUAUGGUAAUAGCAACCUCGCAUAUGAUACAGAUAAACUAUAUAGAUACUUAUAUAGGAAGGUCUCUUAUAAAUAAAAACAUAAUAUAUGACCUACCUUUAUUAAAGAACGAAUAACAAAUACAUACGGGUUUGGUUACCAUCGACGAAUAACAAAUACAUACGGGUUUGGUUACCAUCGACGAAUGACUAUUUCCUUUCCACAUUAUAUACACAAUAUCUUAGGUUGUCUAGUGGACGAAUGACAAAUAUAUACGUUUCUCAUUACGAACAACGGGUGAAUAUUAUUUCCCUUCAAUUGAUCGUUUAUUUAUUAGAUACCCAACGUUUUAGGUCAUCUGGUACACGAAUGACGAAAGUAUGUACCAGCAGACGACGAAGAAUAAGGAAACAUUCGGAGACUAAGGUUGAUACCACACGAAGAUCCAACUAGCAGGCCGACCCGUCAUCCAACUAAAGAGAGGAAACCAACCGAACAAUAGACGACGAAACGGAUUGUUACAAACACGAACGAGAAAUGUCGAGAGAUUUGUGCCGGACAGUACAUCCAAAGAUUAAGUAAGAUAAGAUGUCCAGAACAACAUGAACGUAACGGAACGGAAAAAUAGACGACGAGACAACCGACCCGCUGAUGAAGACGACGAUAUAACUAAUAACAGCGGAGAAAGAGGUAACAUUCCACAACACAAGUCAGGUCGCGGCACGGAUGCCGUGUUUAAGCAACCGGACUUGUUGCGAGGGCCGCGGCACCUACGUGGGUGAUCGUUCGAGUCCGGUUCCCUAUAUACUAUAGCACACGAACAUGAUUUUUUCCACAAGACGGUAGGGUACCUAAGAUCGUGUCGAGCUUCGCCGGUUCAGUUCCUCCUGGAUAUUUUAAUAGACUAGCAGAGAGAGAAAGAUAUAUACACAACAGACCACGUACAUACCGACUCUUAUCCCUCUCUCUCGUUCGAAUUAAAAGUAACCCGUAAGUUUAAGAAUAAAACGAAAAGAGUCUAAAAACCGACCCACAAAUUUGUAUGAACGUGUGUGACCAAAGUCUAAAGUCACAUUUGAUGUUUAUCCCCUGUUUAAGAUCACUAAAAAGGUUUAAUCUUUAUCCCCCUUCCCUUUGAUAACUAAUAACACACGUACAUAUUGAUUAACCUAAUGACCAACUUGCUCACGACUAAACUCUUUCUUCUUUAUCCCGGUUAUUUUAAUCCACCCUCCAUACGACUAGCCAAGUAAAAUCGUGAUGAUUAGCUGGCGAACCGUAGGACUUCCAUACUACGUAUAACGGAACGAGACUAAACGAAUAAACUUACACAAACACAUGUAGUUUCAAGUAAAGCAAUGAAAACGAGAAACUCCCUAUAUCCUCUCUAUAGAUAACAACUUUAAACUACUAUUUUUAUAUCGGUAAUAACAAUGUUCGUAAUAACAAGGUCAAAAAAAAUGAAUAACUAGUACGGUAAAAAGAAAGACGGAAACAUCGACUUUCUAAUCACUCUGACUGAUUUAAGAUUUGUACAAUGUACACUCUCUUUAUCGUACAACUAAAUAAGAACUUUAUUAGUAUCGACUCCCUGCUUCAAGCAUUGGCUCCCAGUACACGUCUCGACCUCCUUCUUCAACGCUCCGAACCUUGAGAGGAACACUUCCCGAGUCCCUGUCGUGACUCCUGUUACGGAGAAAUUAACAUUAACACUAUGAGGAAUACGAUUUUACAACCACCAAUCAUGUCUCCACUACUGUAACAAACCAAGAGACCAUAAC